CCCCCCGCCUCUGACUUCUCUGUCCGAAGUCGGGACACCCUCCUACCACCUGUAGAGAAGCGGGAGUGGAUCUGAAAUAAAAUCCAGGAAUCUGGGGGUUCCUAGACGGAGCCAGACUUCGGAACGGGUGUCCUGCUACUCCUGCUGGGGCUCCUCCAGCGCUCCUUGUUCCCUCCCUGUACACCUCCCUGCAGGCAGCAGCUAAGAAUGGGAAGGAAGACCUGAUUCUCUCCUCCGACUUGGCUUUCCCGCUGAAACUAGCCCCUCCCCGCACACCCGGGGAGAGCCGCCCUCACUCCCUGGCUCGCCCAGUUUACCCCAGUUUGGGUUUCCCCAAGUCUCUAAGACAGACGUCUCUGCGGGCUGCGGGGAGAUGUGGGGAGGGCCCCCUCCACUUUGGAGGGCAGUGAAGGAGAGGGAUCCUCUAAAUUGUCGAGGCUUCAUCUCUCCAGAUUGUAUGCCCUUCUCAGCAACACCGCCUCCGGCCCUCCGAUGGGAAAGUGGAGGCCGGGUGAGACGGGGUCCCUCCUGGCUUCAGCAUGAAAUGGGCAGGAAGGCUGGAGGGGUGU
rnacentral:sRNA from 1 species